AUUGAACGCUGGCGGCAGGCCUAACACAUGCAAGUCGAGCGGAUGAAGGGAGCUUGCUCCUGGAUUCAGCGGCGGACGGGUGAGUAAUGCCUAGGAAUCUGCCUGGUAGUGGGGGAUAACGUCCGGAAACGGGCGCUAAUACCGCAUACGUCCUGAGGGAGAAAGUGGGGGAUCUUCGGACCUCACGCUAUCAGAUGAGCCUAGGUCGGAUUAGCUAGUUGGUGGGGUAAAGGCCUACCAAGGCGACGAUCCGUAACUGGUCUGAGAGGAUGAUCAGUCACACUGGAACUGAGACACGGUCCAGACUCCUACGGGAGGCAGCAGUGGGGAAUAUUGGACAAAGGGCGAAAGCCUGAUCCAGCCAUGCCGCGUGUGUGAAGAAGGUUUUCGGAUUGUAAAGCACUUUAAGUUGGGAGGAAGGGCAGUAAGUUAAUACCUUGCUGUUUUGACGUUACCAACAGAAUAAGCACCGGCUAGCUUCGUG
rnacentral:rRNA from 1 species